rnacentral:ribozyme from 13 species
UUUCUCCUUUUCUUUUGGUUUCUUUUAUUUUUUUUUCUUCUUUUGGUGUCAGGUAAAGAAGUUCGUUUAGUUAUGUUUCUUUAAAAACAAAAAAGAUGAUCUGAGUCAAUCGAGCAAUUUGGCUUUCACUGUUCAGAACCAAAAAGCCA